GAGUAGUUUUACAAUGAUGAGCAGUAAACGAAGAGUAGAUCCAUAAAGCAUUUCAGCAGGAGAAGCUUGUAAAUCUUCUUUAAAACAAGUCCGAAGUCCAAGUAAAACGGAGGAAUUCCAUUAGAAGCAGGAUGAUAAGCAGAAGUUCUGACACGCUCACAGCCAAUAAGAUUAGUAAGAGCUUUAAAUAAAGCACCG
rnacentral:lncRNA from 1 species